rnacentral:tRNA from 1 species
GUCCCUGUAGCUUACAAACAAAGCAUGGCACUGAAGAUGCCAAGACGGCCCCUACACACCCAAGGACA